GGAGGUGUGGCUCAUAGAGUCCCUGCUUAGCAAGCAUGAAGCCCAGGGUUCAAACCCUAGUACUUCCA
rnacentral:tRNA from 1 species